UGGAUCCCUGGCUUGUGGAUCGAUGAAGAACGCAGCAAAAAGCGCGUCGUCAUGUGAACUGCAGGACACAUGAACAUCGACAAUUUGAACGCAAAUGGCGGCCCUCGGUGUUUUUACACCUUGGGCCACACCUAGCUGAGGGUCGG
rnacentral:rRNA from 1 species